rnacentral:lncRNA from 1 species
AAUAAGAAAUGACUUUACAACAAUUCCCUGGAGACCAGUCUCUCCAUGGACAACCCUUCCAAGUGUCUCCCAACCCUUCAGCCAGAAAGUCCCUUUUUAUAUUUAAAUCCACUUCUAGAGAAUCAGGGAAGAGAAAGCAGGAAAAUGGAAAUGCAGUUCCGUUGACUGCAGGGCCCCAGUUCUUGUUAUUCUUUGUUAUUUUUAACAUGAGGUUCAUGGAGGUGGGGUGCAGAGGUCAGGGCUGGAGAUGCUGCCAUCGGUCAUGAGUCCAGCAGGAGGCCUGAGGGAGCCCAGAGUUUCCUGUGCUGAGUCUCAACCCUGGAAGAGUUCCCAUCGUGGCACAGCGGAAACAAAUCCAACUAGGAACCAUGAGGUUGCAGGUUUGAUCCCUGGCCUCACUCAGUGGGUUAAGGAUCUGGCAUUGCUGUGAGCUGUGGUGUAGGUCACAGACAAAGCUUGGAUCUGGCGUUGCUGUGGUUCUGGCAUAGGCUGGCAGCCCUAGCCUAGGAAACUCCAUAUGCCACAUGUGUGGCCCUAAAAAGCCAAAAAAAAAAAAAAAGAAGAGGAUGGCAGAAAGUUCAGGGCAACGUCACCCCUUCUAGGGAGAAAAGCCAAGUGCCCAGGGAUCUCAGGCCCCCGUGGACCGGGGUUCAAGUUCUCAUUCAGAUACCUUUUUGCUGCGGCUCUCAGGGAAAGCAGUGGAGCUCACUCAGCCUCAGUCUUCCCCUCCAGGACAGUGGGGGUAAAUAGUGCAACCCCUCUUCCUAGCAGGGUGUCAUGGAGAGCAAGGGAGACAUCCCACAUGAAAGCAUCUGACACAGGUAAGCUCUGAGAUGCUAGUUCUUCCUGCCUGGUCUGAUGAUUGAGGUCAAGGUCAUUAUCACAAGCAUAGGGUAGGGCAUGGUAACUUCUGCAACUCGUACUGGCUCUUUGAGAAGACAGGAGCUGAGAAGAUGCUUUCUUUCCAGGCUCCAGCCCUGCAGGUGAGUCUACAUCUUUGAUUCUACCUAUACCUCAGGCUCAGCCCCACUCCAGAUACGACCGGAUUCCUUUGCUCAAGAUCUGCACCAUACAAUUUAGUAGCCACAUGUGGUUACGUGUAGCUAUUUAAAUAUAAAUUAAUUCUAUUUAAAUGAAAUAAAAAAUUCAGCUCUUUGGUGGCACUGACCACGUGUCAAAUGCUCAGUGGCCACGCGCGGCUGCCAUCAAGGACAUCGCAACCUUGCCCUCAUCCUAGAAGGAUCCGAUAUGCAGGGCUGUUCCAGCGCCUUGGAGAACAGCCUUAGACUGUAAAGGAUUCUGGUGGCCAUUUGCAAAAGCAUCGUCUCAUUUCUACAAUAGCACCUUUUCUAUUUGAAAACAAAAAUCGGCAGAAAUGCCAUCUCAUGUCUGGCAUAUUUGGGGGGUAUGCUACAAGCAAGCAGGCCCCUAGGCCCCUGCCAAUAAAGGGAGUUCCCAUCAUGGCUCAGUGGGUUACAAACCUGACCAGCAUCCAUGAGGACGCAGGUUCAAUCCCUGGCCUCACACAGUGGGUUAAGGAUCUGGUGUUGCCAUGAGCUAUGGUGUAGGUCACAGACACGGCUUGGAUCCUGUGUUGUUGUGGUUAUGGCAAAGGCCAGCAGCUGAAGCUCUGAUUUGACCCCUAGCCUGGGAACCUCUGCGUGCCAUGCAUGCGGCCCUAAAAAGCCAAAAAAAAAAAAAAAAAA